AAUGGCUGGAAAAUGGAGGAGAUCAGCGCGGGGUGGGAAGGUAUACAGAGGAACGAGAGAGAGAAAGAGGAAGAACAGGCGACCAGGCGACCAGAGGAAGGAGACGACGCGGUCUGCCUUAUCCCGACCUCUUUGGUCAACCGAUGGCCGAAGAGCUCUUCGGUCGCUGGUAGGCCGAAAACGGCCCACUUCGGUCGCUCCCCCAUCGACAGCCAGUCUUCGGCCUAGACGAGCCACUCUUCGGGCAACAGCAGGCUAAAGAGCUCUCUUUGGCUAAGGCUAGGCCGAAAAGCCCGUCUUCGGCCUACGGAAGGCCGACGGGGUCAUAGUAUUACUUUUUUACCCUUAGGUGCUAUAGUUUCCGAAUUUUAUAUAAAAACGUCACAGUUUUGAAAAAAAAAUCCUUCGAUGGCCCUCUCCCGAAAAAAGGUUCGGCGUGCUCGAGGAGCUCUGUUCGCGCUCUCCGCGAAGUCCCAACCCCAACCAUGGCCCGCUCAAAAAAAAAAAAAAAAAAACCAUGGCGAUCGGCGAAACUUCAAGGCGCGCAGCGGCCAUGGCAACCCCAUCGCCUCAUACGAUGAAUCCAGGAGGGGAUCAGGGGGCUCAGGGGGGUGUACAACAGUGGUAUUACCAAAUCACAAAUCUUUUGCUUACAUCAGCAAGUGUAUAUAGUUUUCAAUAUACAUGUGGGUGAAACUCAUAAAGUUUAGGUCCAGAUUUCUUCAAUAGUUGUGCUUCACUUAUGUUUAGGGAAAAUUCAAUAUUCUAUUAUUCUACAAAAUAAAGUUUCAACACUGGUAUUGCAGUUUCACCUUGCGAUUGUGUGUAGUUUUAUUUUCUAAUUGGGGUGUAAAUUUCGUUUUCUCUCUAUUGUAUAAAGUCAACUUGCGAGUAGUUGCUUCUUUUAUUUCAAUCAGGAUUGGCGUGCCACUCUGUAAAACUGCAAAUAGGUUAUUUUGUUUGACUGAUAUCAAAUUUUUCGUA